GUGAAGCCCUUCGGGGCGGAUCAGUGGCGAACGGGUGAGUAACACGUGGGGAAUCUGCCCUGAACUCUGGGACAAGCCUUGGAAACGAGGUCUAAUACCGGAUACGACCUCCUCCCGCAUGGGGGGCGGUGGAAAGCUCCGGCGGUUCAGGAUGAUCCCGCGGCCUAUCAGCUUGUUGGUGGGGUAACGGCCUACCAAGGCGACGACGGGUAGCCGGCCUGAGAGGGCGACCGGCCACACUGGGACUGAGACACGGCCCAGACUCCUACGGGAGGCAGCAGUGGGGAAUAUUGCACAAUGGGCGGAAGCCUGAUGCAGCGACGCCGCGUGAGGGAUGACGGCCUUCGGGUUGUAAACCUCUUUCAGCAGGGAAGAAGCGCAAGUGACGGUACCUGCAGAAGAAGCACCGGCUAACUACGUGCCAGCAGCCGCGGUAAUACGUAGGGUGCGAGCGUUGUCCGGAAUUAUUGGGCGUAAAGAGCUCGUAGGCGGCCUGUCGCGUCGGAUGUGAAAGCCCGGGGCUCAACCCCGGGUCUGCAUUCGAUACGGGCAGGCUGGAGUGUGGUAGGGGAGAUCGGAAUUCCUGGUGUAGCGGUGAAAUGCGCAGAUAUCAGGAGGAACACCGGUGGCGAAGGCGGAUCUCUGGGCCAUUACUGACGCUGAGGAGCGAAAGCGUGGGGAGCGAACAGGAUUAGAUACCCUGGUAGUCCACGCCGUAAACGUUGGGAACUAGGUGUUGGCGACAUUCCACGUCGUCGGUGCCGCAGCUAACGCAUUAAGU
rnacentral:rRNA from 1 species